CACUCUCUCCUCCCGGAAACCUCCCGCACGGUGGGUGCUUAAGAGAUGCUCAUAGGACGUUGACUGAUUGACUGAAGAGAGAAAGCCUAUAAAGACGAAAACAGACGCCUCUGAUUAGCUGGAAAGCCAGGAAAUAGAGGUCGGGAAGUUCUUGGCUGAGCCAGUUGUUGGAGCUUUGGGAAGAUCUUUCGGGCCUCUUUUGAGCCAAAGGACAAUAGACUUCGAACCCGGCCCGGCAUCGCAGGCUCUAACCCGGAGAGCGAGGAGGGCCCGUUGUCUGCGGGAAGCGCUGGGAGCCACGCUCGGGAAACCCAUUAGCCAAAUAAUAGGUUUUGAUCCCACUGUUUUGAAAAGGUCCACAGGUGGAAUACUGCUGGGAGCUAUGGGAGAUAUAAAAACAGGAACUCCUAUUUAUGUGACACAUUCCUCACAGUGAUCCUCUAAGGAAGAGGUGACAGUCAUUGGAAAACUCCAUCUGGCAGCUAUGUGAAAAAUGGCCUGGAAUGGGGCGAGACCAGAGGAAGGACCAUCAGCUGGGAGAUCACUUCAAUAAAGUGGGCAAGAGAUCUGGAUUGUCACAUGACAAGUAUUGUGGAAAUCAAAUAGCAAGAUUUGGCUACUGAUUGAAUAUUGGCGUGACAGAGAAUAAGGAGAUGAUAAUAAUAGAGAGAUCAUGAAUCUGGGGAAAUGGAAUAAAGAUGAUGCCUUUAACAGAAAUACAAAAGUUGUAAAAAGGGCUGUUUUGGAAGAAAUGUAAACAACAAUAUUGACUCCUGCCAUUGAUAAAUACAUAGAUUUUAAGAUUUAAAAAUAGUGCUUUUCAUUAUCUACUUCUUUUAUUUAUGUUAUUUCAUGCAUUGAGCAUUGUCUUCUUAAUUAGAUUGUAAGCUCUUUCUAGCUAUAGCCUAUAUAGCUUUGUAUCUCUUGCAGAACUCAGGGCAGUUCUGACAAUGUUCUAGGCUAUUAAUCGAAAAAUGUGUUAAGACUUGUAAAAUGCUGUACACAUGGGGACCAUCUUGGCUAGUUGUCAGUCCCUUUUCAGUCUAGCACUGUAUGGUUACCUUGGAGUUCCAUGCUAAGACAUUCCACUCAUUCCUGCAUGCAAAUGGUGAUUUUCACCAUCAAGAGCUAUGUGAGCUGAGAAUUAUGGGAAGAAACUACCUAUGAUAUUUUGUAGGAUCUCUUUUGAUUAAAGGACAAACAAAUUUUUGGGAAUUUAAAUGUAGAUAACUAGGGUCCUAAAAUGUUAAGGGAAUAUCAAACUAUCUAGCAUUGGUUUGACCAUUAGAAAUUUAUAUUGAGACUCUGAGGUACUUCAUUGUUAUCCAUGAAUAAAUCUUUUACAUCCAUUUAUCUCUGUCAGGAUGCUCAUAUCAUGGAACCCAAACUGAAUGGCCAGGUUUUGCUGGAAGCAAAGAUAUAAAGUUGCUAGGCUUUUGGCUAUGCUCUCCUUCCCCUCUCAGAAGUCUGAUUCCUACUUAGGGAACUUUCCUGCAAAUUUACUCCCGGUUUGGAGUAUCCGGUGGCUUCAUGUUGUUUCCUCCAUGUCUUGGCUUCCAGGUUGGCUCUUGUCCCCUGAGGUAGUGCUACUCAUACUACCCACAACCUCUGUCUCACAGAAUUGUUAUG